GUAAGAUGAAUCUACGGUUAUU
rnacentral:miRNA from 1 species